ensembl:lncRNA
CGGCAGCUGCAGCCUGGUGGCGGCGUUUAGAACCUGUAUGGAAGCUGUCUUUCCGGCAGCGCUCGCCUGUGGUUCUUACGCCCCCUCAGGUCCCGACAGUCAGAGCGGGUGUGGGUCUGAGAGUGAUCAAAGGAACAAAGACAAGGGGCUGGAAACCCAGCCGACUUAAUCCCUGUGAAUAAACCUCUCCUACAACCUUCAACGGCUGCAUGAAUGACUAAGGUAUUUGUCCCCGUUGCAAAAUUCACUAAACUCAUUCUGGAAUCCAUGCAAACAAAGGGAAACAAUAAAG